ACUCCUACGGGAGGCAGCAGUGGGGAAUAUUGCACAAUGGGCGCAAGCCUGAUGCAGCCAUGCCGCGUGUGUGAAGAAGGCCUUCGGGUUGUAAAGCACUUUCAGUCGUGAGGAAGGUAGUGUAGUUAAUAGCUGCAUUAUUUGACGUUAGCGACAGAAGAAGCACCGGCUAACUCCGUGCCAGCAGCCGCGGUAAUACGGAGGGUGCGAGCGUUAAUCGGAAUUACUGGGCGUAAAAGCGCAUGCAGGUGGUUUGUUAAGUCAGAUGUGAAAGCCCGGGGCUCAACCUCGGAAUUGCAUUUGAAACUGGCAGACUAGAGUACUGUAGAGGGGGGUAGAAUUUCAGGUGUAGCGGUGAAAU
rnacentral:rRNA from 1 species